CAACUACUACCUCCGUUCCGAAUUACUUGUCGCACGUAUGGAUGUAUCUAGAUGUAUUUUAGUUCUAGAUAUAUUCAUUUCAGCGACGAGUAAUUUGGAACGGAAGGAGUAGUAA
rnacentral:pre_miRNA from 1 species